AGAGUUUGAUCCUGGCUCAGGAUGAACGCUAGCUACAGGCUUAACACAUGCAAGUCGAGGGGAAACGACAUCGAAAGCUUGCUUUUUUGAUGGGCGUCGACCGGCGCACGGGUGAGUAACGCGUAUCCAACCUGCCCACCACUUGGGGAUAACCUUGCGAAAGUAAGACUAAUACCCAAUGACGUCUCUAGAAGACAUCUGAAAGAGAUUAAAGAUUUAUCGGUGAUGGAUGGGGAUGCGUCUGAUUAGCUUGUUGGCGGGGUAACGGCCACCAAGGCGACGAUCAGUAGGGGUUCUGAGAGGAAGGUCCCCANACUUGGAACUGAGACACGGUCCAAACUCCUACGGGAGGCA
rnacentral:rRNA from 1 species